rnacentral:rRNA from 1 species
UACGUAGGUGGCAAGCGUUGUCCGGAUUUACUGGGCGUAAAGAGCGCGCAGGCGGUCGUUCAAGUCGCGUGUGAAAGCCCCCGGCUCAACUGGGGAGGGUCACGCGAUACUGAUCGACUCGAAGGCAGGAGAGGGUAGUGGAAUUCCCGGUGUAGUGGUGAAAUGCGUAGAUAUCGGGAGGAACACCAGUGGCGAAGGCGACUUCCUGGACCAAUACUGACGCUCAGGUGCGAAAGCGUGGGGAGCAAACAGGG